rnacentral:tRNA from 1 species
AGGAUAAUAGUUAAAAAUAACAUUUGAUUUGCAUUCAAAAAGUGUUGGUAUACCAACUUAUCUUA